GAUGAACGCUAGCGGCAGGCCUAAUACAUGCAAGUCGAACGGGGUAGCAAUACCUAGUGGCGCACGGGUGAGUAACGCGUGGAUAAUCUGCCUUAGAGUGGGGGAUAACUAGUCGAAAGAUUAGCUAAUACCGCAUAAGACCACAAGAACUGCGGUUCAAGGGGUCAAAGGUUUUUCGCUCUAAGAUGAGUCCGCGUAAGAUUAGCUAGUUGGUGAGGUAAUGGCUCACCAAGGCGACGAUCUUUAACUGGUCUGAGAGGAUGAUCAGUCACACUGGAACUGAGACACGGUCCAGACUCCUACGGGAGGCAGCAGUAGGGAAUAUUGCACAAUGGAGGAAACUCUGAUGCAGCGACGCCGCGUGAGUGAUGAAGGCCUUCGGGUCGUAAAGCUCUGUCGCAGGGGAAUAACACAAUGAAUGUACCCUGUAAGAAAGGAUCGGCUAACUUCGUGCCAGCAGCCGCAGUAAUAC
rnacentral:rRNA from 1 species